GAAAUGCGAUAAGUAAUGUGAAUUGCAGAAUUCAGUGAAUCAUCGAAUCUUUGAACGCACAUUGCGCCCGCCAGUAUUCUGGCGGGCAUGCCUGUCCGAGCGUCAUUUCAACCAUCAAGCCCCCGGGCUUGUGUUGGGGACCUGCGGCUGCCCGCAGGCCCUGAAAACCAGUGGCGGGCUCGCUGUCACACCGAGCGUAGUAGCAAUCACCUCGCUCAGGGCGUGCUGCGGGUUCCGGCCGUUAAACAGCCUUAUAAAACCCAAGGUUGACCUCGGAUCAGGUAGGAAGACCCGCUGAACUUAAGC
rnacentral:misc_RNA from 1 species